AAAUGCACUUCUUUAUGUGGCGGCUUUAUUUGCGAUUUUUUGGCCUUGCGUCAAAAGAGCCUUGUCAAUUGUCGGACUGUAUUUGUACUAAGUAUUGCAUUGUUUAUUGCACAGGUUUAUUUUUUUAUCUCGAUUUUUGUUAUUAAUAAUGGGAGUUGGGACACCGAUGACGCCAUUUAUGAAGACCCUGGUAUCCCUACCGGUACUGGCUAUUGACUGCUGAUCGAAGCCCUACUAUUGACCACGGAUUGAAUACGGAACCCACGACUCCCACUGAAUUGAGAUGUAUUAAUUGUGGCACCGCUGUACCUAAAUCAAAGGAGUAGACAUAAUAGCCUUGAAUUUGUAGAGGUUAUGUAAAUACAACACUGGAUUGCACUUCAAGUGGUGACAGACCACCAGUGUGCCUCUUUUGCUGGACUCUAUUUAGUGUUUCAUUAAAAAGUAAACAAAUGUUUGUUGUAUUUGGGCAUGUAAGUGAGCUAUGGCCAAACCUUGUCUUGUUCUGAGAAGAGACAUACUCAGUACUGCAUGGAUCUGAUGAAAUCUACCACCCCUGUUGGCAGAAAAGUGAUCGAUUGAGAGCACAUGCUCUUGAACCACCUCAACAAGGAUUACCAAUUAUUGUUUUACCGAACUGGAAAAGAAGACCAGAUACCUAAGGCCAUUAUUUUUUUUUAGACUAACUCACUGGAAAGAUUAUUAUUAGAUAAGAUAAGCCUUUAUUAACUGAAUUAAAUUACAUUAAUGCUAUGUACAUAUAGUAUUAUAUUUCAAACAAAUAAAUAAUAUUUUAGUUUUUGA